rnacentral:tRNA from 1 species
GGGAAUAUAGUUCAAUGGUAGAACGGUUGGCUGUUAACCAAAGAAUGAGAGUUCAAUUCUCUCUAUUCCCUCCA